rnacentral:rRNA from 1 species
GGCGGCGUGCUUAACACAUGCAAGUCGAACGGUGAACACGGAGCUUGCUCUGUGGGAUCAGUGGCGAACGGGUGAGUAACACGUGAGCAACCUGCCCCUGACUCUGGGAUAAGCGCUGGAAACGGCGUCUAAUACUGGAUAUGUGACGUGACCGCAUGGUCUGCGUUUGGAAAGAUUUUUCGGUUGGGGAGGGGCUCGCGGCCUAUCAGCUUGUUGGUGAGGUAAUGGCUCACCAAGGCGUCGACGGGUAGCCGGCCUGAGAGGGUGACCGGCCACACUGGGACUGAGACACGGCCCAGACUCCUACGGGAGGCAGCAGUGGGGAAUAUUGCACAAUGGGCGAAAGCCUGAUGCAGCAACGCCGCGUGAGGGAUGACGGCCUUCGGGUUGUAAACCUCUUUUAGCAGGGAAGAAGCGAAAGUGACGGUACCUGCAGAAAAAGCGCCGGCUAACUACGUGCCAGCAGCCGCGGUAAUACGUAGGGCGCAAGCGUUAUCCGGAAUUAUUGGGCGUAAAGAGCUCGUAGGCGGUUUGUCGCGUCUGCUGUGAAAUCCCGAGGCUCAACCUCGGGCCUGCAGUGGGUACGGGCAGACUAGAGUGCGGUAGGGGAGAUUGGAAUUCCUGGUGUAGCGGUGGAAUGCGCAGAUAUCAGGAGGAACACCGAUGGCGAAGGCAGAUCUCUGGGCCGUAACUGACGCUGAGGAGCGAAAGGGUGGGGAGCAAACAGGCUUAGAUACCCUGGUAGUCCACCCCGUAAACGUUGGGAACUAGUUGUGGGGUCCAUUCCACGGAUUCCGUGACGCAGCUAACGCAUUAAGUUCCCCGCCUGGGGAGUACGGCCGCAAGGCUAAAACUCAAAGGAAUUGACGGGGACCCGCACAAGCGGCGGAGCAUGCGGAUUAAUUCGAUGCAACGCGAAGAACCUUACCAAGGCUUGACAUAUACGAGAACGGGCCAGAAAUGGUCAACU